GACGAACGCUGGCGGCGUGCUUAACACAUGCAAGUCGAACGGUGAAAGCGGAGCUUGCUCCGCUGGACCAGUGGCGAACGGGUGAGUAACCCGUGGGCAACCUGCCCCUCACUUCGGGAUAACUCCGGGAACCCGGGGCUAAUACCGGAUAUGACCUCCUUGGGCAUCCUUGGAUGUGGAAAGUUUUUCGGUGAGGGAUGGGCCCGCGGCCUAUCAGCUUGUUGGUGAGGUAGUGGCUCACCAAGGCGACGACGGGUAGCCGGCCUGAGAGGGCGACCGGCCACACUGGGACUGAGACACGGCCCAGACUCCUACGGGAGGCAGCAGUGGGGAAUAUUGCGCAAUGGGCGAAAGCCUGACGCAGCAACGCCGCGUGCGGGAUGACGGCCUUCGGGUUGUAAACCGCUUUCAGCAGGGAAGAAGCCGCAAGGUGACGGUACCUGCAGAAGAAGCACCGGCUAACUACGUGCCAGCCGCCGCCGUAA
rnacentral:rRNA from 1 species